rnacentral:lncRNA from 1 species
AUAAAUAUGGGCUAUAAACACAAUGAAAUAAGUUCCCCAAAAUCUAAAAUGGAGUGCUAUCAAAGGAGAAUUAAAGGAAAAAAUAUUCAUAUUGAAAUUAUUUAUAAGGCACUGGACUGUCUUAAAUUCUACAAUAAUACUAGAAUCAGCUGAGAGAAGUGGUCUACAAAAAACCAGGAAGGAAACGGAAUAUGUGGCUACGAAAGGCAAAAGAAAGGUUUACAAAGCAAAUGUGACACAUUUUUUUGAAAUAUUUAGGAAUAUCAGUAAAUUGCAUUAAAAAAUGUAUGAAAAGAUUUUGUUCAAUAAAAAUGUUUAUAUUUA